rnacentral:rRNA from 1 species
GAUGAACGCUGGCGGCGUGCUUAACACAUGCAAGUCGAACGGAAAGGCUCCUGCUUGCAGGGGUACUCGAGUGGCGAACGGGUGAGUAACACGUGGGUGAUCUGCCCUGCACUUCGGGAUAAGCCUGGGAAACUGGGUCUAAUACCGGAUAGGACCACAUUUUGGAUGGUGUGGUGGAAAGUUUUUCGGUGUGGGAUGAGCUCGCGGCCUAUCAGCUUGUUGGUGGGGUAAUGGCCUACCAAGGCGUCGACGGGUAGCCGGCCUGGGAGGGUGUACGGCCACAUUGGGACUGAGAUACGGCCCAGACUCCUACGGGAGGCAGCAGUGGGGAAUAUUGCACAAUGGGCGCAAGCCUGAUGCAGCGACGCCGCGUGGGGGAUGACGGCCUUCGGGUUGUAAACUCCUUUCGCUAGGGACGAAGCGUUUUUGUGACGGUACCUGGAGAAGAAGCACCGGCUAACUACGUG